AGCAGUAGCCACGGAAUACGAAGGGUGCAAGCGUUACUCGGAAUUACUGGGCGUAAAGCGUGCGUAGGUGGUGGUUUAAGUCCGUUGUGAAAGCCCUGGGCUCAACCUGGGAAUUGCAGUGGAUACUGGGUCACUAGAGUGUGGUAGAGGAUAGUGGAAUUUCCGGUGUAGCAGUGAAAUGCGUAGAGAUCGGAAGGAACAUCUGUGGCGAAGGCGACUAUCUGGGCCAACACUGACACUGAGGCACGAAAGCGUGGGGAGCAAACAGGAUUAGAUACCCGUGUAGUCCCUGUCUCUUAUACA
rnacentral:rRNA from 1 species